GAUGAACGCUGGCGGCGUGCCUAAUACAUGCAAGUCGAGCGAAUGGAUUAAGAGCUUGCUCUUAUGAAGUUAGCGGCGGACGGGUGAGUAACACGUGGGUAACCUGCCCAUAAGACUGGGAUAACUCCGGGAAACCGGGGCUAAUACCGGAAACAUUUUGAACCGCAUGGUUCGAAAUUGGAAGGCGGCUUCGGCUGUCACUUAUGGAUGGACCCGCGUCGCAUUAGCUAGUUGGUGAGGUAACGGCUCACCAAGGCAACGAUGCGUAGCCGACCUGAGAGGGUGAUCGGCCACACUGGGACUGAAACACGGUCCAGACUCCUACGGGAGGCAGCAGUAGGGAAUCUUCCGCAAUGGACGAAAGUCUGACGGAGCAACGCCGCGUGAGUGAUGAAGGCUUUCGGGUCGUAAAACUCUGUUGUUAGGGAAGAACAAGUGCUAGUUGAAUAAGCUGGCACCUUGACGGUACCUAACCAGAAAGCCACGGCUAACUACGUGCCAGCAGCCGCGGUAA
rnacentral:rRNA from 1 species